CUCUGGAGGAUGUCAAGGACUGUGUUGGGUAGAAGUGGUGAAAGUCAGUAUUCUUAUCUUGUUCCUGUUGGCCUUGGGUUUGUCAUAUAUAGCUUUUACAAUGUUGAGACUAAGGAUUGCUCACAGAGGCCAUAUCUUUCAAGAAAGUGAAGACUCACACUCCUUAUAACAACUAAAGGAAAAAGGCACGUGACUGAAUCCAGUUAGUAAAGAUCCCACCAACAUCUGACUUGGGCCCCAUCAACAUUACUGUGGAUAGACUAAAUGCUACUGAGUGUUUACUUUUAAAUGAUUAGUUUUGUGUUAUGUGAAUUUCAGCUCAAUAAAAAAUGAGUU